UACGGGGGGGGCAAGCGUUGUUCGGAAUUACUGGGCGUAAAGGGCUCGUAGGUGGCCAACUAAGUCAGACGUGAAAUCCCUCGGCUUAACCGGGGAACUGCGUCUGAUACUGGACGGCUUGAGUUUGGGAGAGGGAUGCGGAAUUCCAGGUGUAGCGGUGAAAUGCGUAGAUAUCUGGAGGAACACCGGUGGCGAAGGCGGCAUCCUGGACCAACACUGACACUGAGGAGCGAAAGCCAGGGGAGCAAACGGG
rnacentral:rRNA from 1 species